AGACGUUGUGGUGAGCAGGCUGUGAGCACGGGAGCAGAAGUGGGAUCGUCUCAGCAGUGCUCGGGUGUAGCCAGAUACCAACUGCUCACAGAUCUCCCAGGACACCGGCUUCAGGUAGCCCCAGGAGGCACAGGGCGCGGGGGGAGGCGGCAGUCCACCUCCGGUCCUGCAGGUCCGGCCUCCCAGCCGCCGCCCCCCACCCCCACGACCACACCCUGGGCCGUUACAACAGAUGAGUCACCCACCGCCCUCCCGCCGCUGGGGUGACGCAGUGGUCUGGGCAGCCCGCCCGUCCGCCCGCGGCCACCACCGGCUUUCCCAGCAGCAGGGGGCACCCGGUGGGGGCAGCGGCGCUCGGGCAGGGUAAAAGCAGCCACCACCACCCCCACAACCUCACACAGGGCACCCCGGGGCGCAGUCAGGGCUGCAGCACCCAGACCCCCGAGGUCAGGGGACCGUCAUAGAGAUGACUGGAGCUUCACAGAAGGUCACCGUGCGACCCAUGCAGAGCCCCCUAGCCCCAGCCCGUGACCUCAAGUCCCCAGAAUAGCAAGCUAGCAGGAACAGGAAUGAAAAGGGCGGCCUCGGGGACUCAGAGGGCACGCAGUGCUCACACGUGCUCCUGGAACCAGGAAGUGAAGGGUCGCGCGGGAAAGCCCAGGAGCACGAGCUGGCCCAGGGCCGGCGCCACGACCCGGGGUCACUCGGGGCCAGCCAGCUAAAGUCCGACGCCCUUUUUUCCCCUCGCCCCAGUGAGGACUCAGCGAUGGAGCCCGCGGGUGGGGCUCAGUCCCUGAGUCCCUGCUCCAGACGGACGCCCUGUCUAUGCAUGGGCUAACCUCGCCUGACCUCAUCGUCCAACAAUGUCGGGUCAGGGCUUGGGGACAGGACCUGACAGCACGGGGCGGGGUAAAGUAGUCACCGGACCCUUGCCUGGUACCAGCCCUUGAUCCCCGAGCUCGCUGGAGCAAGUUCAAAGCGCUGGCUUCUUGCUUUCUACACAGCACGCACAUGUCCCCGACCCCCGUACCCCCGACCUGCUCACCGUUCAAGCGGGCUGGAGAGCGGCGCACUGACUCAAGGCAAGGGCUGCAGCUGCAAGUGGUGCGCCCUGCCCAGCCGGGGAUUUUCAGGAGGGUCCCGCCUCAGACGGGGCGGACCCGGGGCGGGGCAAGGGCCAAGAAGGUUUAAAGGCGCCGCAGCGCAGAAGGAGGGAGGACUGCUUGAGACAGAGGGACAGUAGACCAGAGCAAGGGUUAAAGGUUCGGGGAGUCUGAAUCUACAAAGGCGGCUGCAGUGGUCUCCACCCGUGAGUACCUCAGCCUCCACCGAGAGCCCGUAGACUUGUGCCCCAGUAGGAAACUUUCUGCCUAGAAAGUUAGCUAAACACUGUGGGCGUGUUUAUGUAGGAAGAAGCCUCCUAGUUUAGAGGCUGGCAAGGUAAAAGGAGGCACAGGAAGGCCUUCCCCCGACCCCAACUGACUAGUGUGUGACAGGACUGGGACUUGCAGGCCGGGACAGCACCCCCACGUGAUCUUGCUCACCUCUUACUUCAAGCCUGGGCAGGGACUAACAGUGAGGUCACUCUGCCCAGGGCCCUAGGGGUGUUUUCGGUGUUGGGACCCAGGGCUCAGACCUGUCUUCUCCCUGCCUUUCAUCUCCUUUUCUAUGACCUGGUAUCUCUUCCUAAAUCCUGGAGGGAUCAGAGGGGGAGACCUCAGCGCGAGGAGGCUGGCUGGGGUUCUUUUGUCUCUGAGGGUGGAGGACAGCACAGUUCAGGGGUGGAGAAAGAGCCCCCCAUCCUUUCAGGCUUCAGUUGAAUAGAGUCCCCCGGGGUGGAGUUCUGCACACAUGAUAGAGUCCUCCCUUGAACCUGAGAUUCCAGGAUGUCAAUAUCCAGUCCUGUCCAACCUUUCUAUUAUUCUCUGUUCCCUCCCCGAGUCCUACACAGCCCUAUAUUCCAGUCCCACUGAUUGUCAAGCAUUCUCACUCUUCUGUGCCUUUACAAAGGCUAUUCCUCUGCCUAGGACAGUUUCCCUUCCUUGACUGGCUCCCCACCUGCUCUACCCUUUACCUGCUGUGUGACUGUUGUGCAUUCUAUGCUUGAGUUCCCUGGUCUAUAGAACAGAGCUAAUAGUACUACCUAAUUCAUAGAAUUGUAGAGAACUAAACAGUCCACCUAUAGGGCUUAGAGCAGUGCCUGGCACAUAGUGAAUACUAUUAUUACCACCAUCUAUCUGUGAGGGUCCUGAGGACUCCCCCCCAAUAUGUGGCAUUUGUCCCAGCACACGAUAUUAGCGUUCACUAAAGGUGGCCUUGAAUGCAACAUCUUCCUUUGUGCUACAAUAACCAACACAUAGCUUUAUCACGGAACUUAUCAUACGGUAACUAUUUCUUUGUCCGCCUCACUGACUAGAAAGAACUCCUCAAGGGCAAAGGCGUGCUUCCAGAGCUUUGUAUUUUCUCAGUAUCUACUUCAGUGGCUGGCCUUUAGUAGCUGGCCUCCGUAAGCACUCAAUAAAUGUUCUUGAAUGAA